AAAUAAAGUUUUUCAAACUAUAUCAUGUUACAUAUUAAAUGAAAGAACUUAUUGUAAGGAUCUCAAAUAUAUUUUUUUUAUAAUUUUCGAAUAAACAUUUUAGAAGUAAUUCAAGAAAAUAGGCAAAAAAUGACCAUUCCCCCCCUUUAUCUCUGAAACUCCUGGGUCUAAAAUUUUGGAAAUAAUUCAUCAAUUAGGUCUAUACCUAUAGAUGACAGGAAAACCUAUUAGAAAUGUACAGUUAAGCGUGAGUCGGACUUAAUUAGGUACUUAGUUUUUGAUCCGACCCCUACGGAUUUUUAAAGAGAUUUCAUCACGUUUCACAUAAAAAAAUACAUUUUUUUAAAUUGUGUAAUGUACGGAAUCCUUGGAACGCGAGUCCGACUCGCACUUGGCCGGUUUUUUCCUAUAUCUCGAAAACUGAGGGUGUUAAAAAAAUUUAUAUGAAAUAACGAUGAUUAAAUUAUGUGACUUUUAUUAUAUCUCAAAAUUUUUU